GGGAAGGGAACCGCUUAUAAAAAAAAAAAAAAAAAGCCUUUGGGAGUUUGUAGCCCCGGCUUUUGUGAAUUGUCCCUCCCACUACCCCAUCCCCGGGAGCCCCCUUCAGAGUGAGUUAAACACCCCUCCCCCUCUGUGUAAUGAACGCCCUUUGCCACCCUGUGAGCGGAGGAGGCUGAUCUUGCUUCUGGCAACCCGCCUGCUCAGCGCUAGAAUUGGGCCUGUCCUUCACUGGCGGGUGCACAAAGGCCCGUGCCAGGCAGGAACCUCAGCCCCUGCUUUUCCAGUUCAUGAAAACUGAAAACUCCCGGAUGCUGCGGACUCUCCUUGUCAGGUCUGCACAAGUGGUGCCUUGAUAAGUGCUUGCUGAGUAUCUGAGGUGAAGACCCUAGAGAGGAAAUUGUUAUUGAAGACUGUUAUUCUCCGAUUCAAGUGUCUAUUUCCGGUGGCCACUGGUUUAGAAAUCCACCCUCCCCUGCCUGCUGCCGCUGGCCUUUUCCUUCAUAGAAAACGGCUCUGUGCUGCUGUGGGUUGAGGACAAAGGAAACUGCAGCCUUUGGGAAGGAAGCCUCGGGCUCCUAAGUGUGCAGAGGACACUCUAUGCCUCCUUGGAGCCUCUGGAGAUGGUCUGGGGAUGCGAAUUAUCUGGCUUGCAAGCUGGGAGUCCAAGGGAGACAGAUGAGGAUGCAGUGAAGUGGAAGUUGAAAGCCUUGGAUUUGGUCUCAGCCCUGACACUGCAGAGGCCAUUGUGUCCCUUGCCUGGGCCCUGGAUUGCUCAGCUGCAAAACAACAGACUGAGAGAUGAAAACAAAUGUCUGCAGAGGAACAGGAAGGGUGGAAAGUCCCCGAGGCUGGUCCAGGAGAGAAACACACACAAACACAGGAAUAACUGUCGUAUUCCCAAGCAGGCCAGAGCAAGAAUGGCUUUGUGGAGGGUGGCUGAGGCCAGCUGUGCUGCUGGUGGAUCAACGUCAUGGUGCUGAAGCUUAGAAAGCAGAAUCCAUGGCGUUCCCACUCCAAGCCCCUCACUCUGCAGAUGAGGAAACUGAGCCUCCCCAAAGCCCACACCAAGUUCAACUAUUAAUGUGCAAGAGACCAUUCUCUGUGUACCAGUGUCUGUCUGGGUCCCAGUGCAGAGCACAGUUCACCCCCUCUAACACUGGCUGUUAUUGACCAGACGGACUCAAAGUCCAAUGUCAUGGUGGGGAGUUAAGUGGUCACAUGUGCCUGGAGAGAACCGUGGUCUAGAUUCUCUUUUCUGGACUGUGGUUCGGGCUCUAACCUAGAGAGCAGACAUGAUGGUCUGGACUUCUUCCAAUCUAGUGACCACCAAGUAGGGGGGAAGACCACUGUGGGGGGUCCAGUUCCUUGAGGUAGAGAGAGUCCCGCUAACCUCAGAGUCUUGAGGUGGUUGGCUUUGGCAGAAGCACGGUGUUCAUCCAGCCCUUGACCAAGCGUUACUGAACCUUAAUCUCGGCCUAGAGGGGACUUGGGAGUCUGUGUACCCUAAGGUGAGAAAGCAUCUAUGGGUGAGCCAAUGACAGCUGGGUAGGGGGAGAGGGCCUGUCCCAAAGCCCAUGUCCAGAGAUGAGAGCCUAGCUUGUGGGACUCCGUCUCAGGCAGGUGGGAUACCCACAAGGCCUUGUUGGUACCAGGUGCUUAGUAGUUCACUUUGAUUCCUCUGAGGAUAGAGACACAAACCAGGAGAUAGUGCUUCAUGAAGUGGCCAGCAGUGGGUGACCUGACGCUUGGUCUAAGUGAUGCUUGCUCUUCUAUUGGGCUUAUUUAGGAGAGAAACUGCAAAGAGAGCUAAUGAGAAAAAACAAACAAACAAACAAACCAACAACAACAAAAGAAAAAAACCCACAGAGGACCGAGAGAGCCUCCAUUUGGUAGAAAAGUAAACCAAGAGGAGUCCAGAGAAAGGAAAGGGA
rnacentral:lncRNA from 1 species